rnacentral:rRNA from 1 species
GACGAACGCUGGCGGCGUGCUUAACACAUGCAAGUCGAACGGAAAGGCCCUGCUUUUGUGGGGUGCUCGAGUGGCGAACGGGUGAGUAACACGUGAGUAACCUGCCCUUGACUUUGGGAUAACUUCAGGAAACUGGGGCUAAUACCGGAUAGGAGCUCCUGCUGCAUGGUGGGGGUUGGAAAGUUUCGGCGGUUGGGGAUGGACUCGCGGCUUAUCAGCUUGUUGGUGGGGUAGUGGCUUACCAAGGCUUUGACGGGUAGCCGGCCUGAGAGGGUGACCGGCCACAUGGGGACUGGGAUACGGCCCAGACUCCUACGGGAGGCAGCGGUGGGGAAUAUUGCCCAAGGGGCGGAGGCAGGUUGCAGCAACGCCGCGUGCGGGAUGACGGCCUUCGGGUGGUAAACCGCUUUCGCCUGUGACGAAGCGUGAGUGACGGUAAUGGGGAAAGAAGCACCGGCUAACUACGU